rnacentral:misc_RNA from 1 species
GAAAUGCGAUAAGUAAUGUGAAUUGCAGAAUUCAGUGAAUCAUCGAAUCUUUGAACGCACAUUGCGCCCGCCAGUAUUCUGGCGGGCAUGCCUGUUCGAGCGUCAUUUCAACCAUCAAGCCCCCGGCUUGUGUUGGGGACCUGCGGCUGCCCGCAGGCCCUGAAAAACAGUGGCGGGCUCGCUGUCACACCGAGCGUAGUAGCAUACAUUCUCGCUCAGGGCGUGCUGCGGGUUCCGGCCGUUAAACGACCUUCAUAACCAAAGGUUGACCUCGGAUCAGGUAGGAAGACCCGCUGAACUUAAGC